CGGUAGCAAUACAGUGGCGGACGGGUGAGUAACACGUGAGGAAUCUGCCUUUAGAUGGGGGAUAACUAGCCGAAAGGUUAGCUAAUACCGCAUAUGCCGAAAGGUGAAAGGAGCAAUCCGUCUGAAGAUGAGCCCGCGUCCGAUUAGCUAGUUGGUAAGGUAAAGGCUUACCAAGGCUGUGAUCGGUAGCUGGUCUGAGAGGAUGAUCAGCCACAAUGGGACUGAGACACGGCCCAUACUCCUACGGGAGGCAGCAGUGGGGAAUUUUACGCAAUGGGCGAAAGCCUGACGUAGCGACACCGCGUGAACGAAGAAGCCUUUUGGGGUGUAAAGUUCUGUCGGCAGGGACGAAAAAAAUGACGGUACCUGCAAAGGAAGCAUCGGCUAACUACGUGCCAGCAGCCGCGGUAAGACGUAGGAUGCGAGCGUUGUCCGGAUUUAUUGGGCGUAAAGAGUUCGUAGGCGGUUCGUUAAGUCUGAUGUUAAAGAUCGGGGCUCAACCUCGAGAGUGCAUUGGAUACUGGCGGACUUGAGUGCAGUAGAGGCGAGUGGAAUUCUCAGUGUAGCGGUGAAAUGCGUAGAUAUUGGGAAGAACACCGGUGGCGCAGGCGACUCGCUGGGCUGUAACUGACGCUGAGGAACGAAAGCUAGGGGAGCAAAUGGGAUUAGAUACCCCAGUAGUCCUAGCUUGUAAACGAUGGGAUACUAGUGCGUAGCCAGGUAUCGACCCCUUGCUGUGCCGGUAGCUAACGCCGAUAAGUAUCACAGCCUGAGUAGUACGGCCGCAAGGUUGAAACUCAAAUGAAUUUGACGGG
rnacentral:rRNA from 1 species